ACUACAGGCGCCUGCCACGACGCCCGGCUAAGUUUUUGUAUUUUUAGUAGAGACGGGGUUUCACCGUGUUAGCCAGGAUGGCCUGGAUCUCCUGACCUCGUGAUCCGCCCGCCUUGGCCUCCCAGAGUGCUGGAUUCCAGGCGUGAGCCACCGCGCCCGGCCCCUCUUUCUCCAUCUUUAAAGACAGCAGGGUUAGGCCUAGGUACAGUUGUGUGCUGGUAAAUUUGUAACAAAAGGCUCUCCAGGGGAAGAAAAGCCCUGAUUUUCAGUGUUUGCCAAUUUCCACGGUAUUAAAAGUACUCACACCAAGGCCGGUUUUAAGCAGUGCUCCUGAAGUCCCUGAAGACAGAGUUGAAAAGCAUCGUGCACAGUUGACUCUUCUAAGCUAGUCCGAGCUGGCUCCAACACACUACUGCCUAUGAAUGAAACUGUUGAUCAGAGUUGCAGUAUUGAUUCUUCCUGUGGCCAUGGAUACACAUAUGGAAAAAGAGGAAGUAUUCUAGAGAAUAUAAAAAGACUUCUUGAGUACUAAGAGGUCGUGAAGACAGCUUUGGAAAUGUUAUAAGCGUCAAGAUUCGCUCAAGAUACACCUGCUUCUCUUGCAAAAGGCUACUUCAGCAAGCCUGUUCUCUUUGGAAAUCUCCAGAGGAGACAGAGGUGUCAGUGUCUAUGGAAAUGUACAACUCACACGUUUGGGAAUCUGACAUGCCCUUCCAAGAACUCCCUCUUCUACUCCGUUCUACUCCACUAUGAGCAUUAUUCAAAAGAGCCAAGAUAUGGAAGCAACUGAAGUGCUCAUCAACAGGUGAGUGGAUUUUUAACAAGUAGUAUAUGUACAUGAUGGAAUAUUAUUUGGCCUUAGAAAUGAAAGAAAUUCUGUCAUUUGUGACCACAUGGAUGAAUCUAGAGGACAUUAUGCUAUGUGAAAUAAGCCAGGCACAGAAAGACAAAUAUCACAUGAUCUCACUUCUGUGUGGAAUCUAAAAAAGUCAAACUCUUAGAGAAGUAGAAAACAGAAUAGUGGUUACGAGAAGCAGAGGGGAGGGGAGGAGAGUGCAUGGUGAAAGAGAUGUUGGUCAAAGGUACAAAGAUUAGUUAGACAUGAGAAAUAAGUUCUGGUGAUCUGUACAGCAUGGUGACUAUAGUGAAUAAUGUACUGUAGAUUUCAAAAUUACUAUAAAAGAAUGGAUUUUUAAUAUUCUCACUAUAGGGAAAUGAUAAGUGUGUGAGGUGAUGGAUGUAUUAGCCUGAUUCCAUCCUUCCACAAAUGCAGACAUGUAUCAAAAGAUCACAUUGUACUCCAUAAAUAUGUAUAUUUAUUAUUUG
rnacentral:lncRNA from 10 species